UGAAACUCCGUGAAUUUCUGAGCUGUGCUU
rnacentral:piRNA from 1 species